UACGUAGGGGGCAAGCGUUGUCCGGAAUCAUUGGGCGUAAAGGGCGCGUAGGCGGCCCAGUAAGUCCGCUGUAAAAGUCAAAGGCUCAACCUUUGAAUGCCGGUGGAUACUGCUGGGCUAGAGUCCGGAAGAGGCGAGUGGAAUUCCUGGUGUAGCGGUGAAAUGCGCAGAUAUCAGGAAGAACACCCGUGGCUAAGGCGGCUCUCUAGUACGGUACUGACGCUGAGACGCGAAAGCGUGGGGAGCGAACAGG
rnacentral:rRNA from 1 species